CACGUAGGGUCCGAGCGUUGUCCGGAAUUACUGGGCGUAAAGCGCGCGCAGGCGGUUAGUCGCAUCGGUGGUGAAAGCCCCCCGCUUAACGGGGGAGGGUCCGUCGAGAUGGACUGACUGGAGGCAGGGAGAGGGCGGUGGAAUUCCGGGUGUAGUGGUGAAAUGCGUAGAGAUCCGGAGGAACACCAGUGGCGAAGGCGGUCGCCUGGACCUGACCUGACGCUGAGGCGCGAAGGCGCGGGGAGCGAACGGG
rnacentral:rRNA from 1 species